rnacentral:pre_miRNA from 13 species
UCAUCUAUUUAGAGCAAAUCAUCAUUUAAUUAUGACAGAACCACAUUUGACUGUUUAAAAUCACUUAUUGUCGCAAGUCUUACUACAUCAUUGACAUUGAAAAAUAAAGGAUAACUACUGUAUAAAUAAUAAUUUUUUAA